UACGGGGGGGGCAAGCGUUGUUCGGAAUUACUGGGCGUAAAGGGCUCGUAGGUGGCCAACUAAGUCAGACGUGAAAUCCCUCGGCUUAACCGGGGAACUGCGUCUGAUACUGGAUGGCUUGAGUUCGGGAGAGGGAUGCGGAAUUCCAGGUGUAGCGGUGAAAUGCGUAGAUAUCAGGAAGAACACCGAUGGCGAAGGCAGUUCUCUGGGACGGUACUGACGCUGAGACGCGAAAGCGUGGGGAGCGAACAGG
rnacentral:rRNA from 1 species